rnacentral:rRNA from 1 species
UAUAAAGUGGCGAACGGCUGAGUAACACGUGGGCAACCUGCCCUUUGCACUGGGAUAGCCUCGGGAAACCGAGGUUAGUACCGGAUACUCCAUAUUUGUCGCAUGGCGAAUAUGGGAAAGCUCCGGCGGCAAAGGAUGGGCCCGCGGCCUGUUAGCUAGUUGGUGGGGUAGUGGCCUACCAAGGCAAUGAUGGGUAGCCGGGUUGAGAGACCGACCGGCCAGAUUGGGACUGAGACACGGCCCAGACUCCUACGGGAGGCAGCAGAC